rnacentral:misc_RNA from 1 species
AAGUCGUAACAAGGUUUCCGUAGGUGAACCUGCGGAAGGAUCAUUCAUGUGAUUUCUUUAAAACACCCAACCUUUUGUUAACUAUUAGUUAAAAAAAGUGCCCAAGUUUCUGUGUUUUUCUUUUGUUGGCUGCGUUUUCUUUCAUAUUCACUCUAUUUUUCAUAGCACUUUUUUAUCAAAAAAAAGUAGACCAGAAAAUAGGAAAAGAAAUGAUAAAUGCUACCUUUAAUUUAACCUUGAACUUACCAAAAACGAACUUUAUCAUUGGGCAAUAAGCCUUUGUAAAAAACUAUUACAACUUUUAACGAUGGAUCCCUCGGCUCUCA